rnacentral:lncRNA from 1 species
CUCCUCUCAGAUAACUCCAGCUUGUGUCAAGCUGACUUAAAAACCAGCCAGCACAAGUGCCACAGCUCAUGUCAGUUCAGUUUCUCAUUCAGGUCAUUUCCCCAAUACCUAUGGUGGUGAAUACAGUACUUUCAAAAAAAAAAAACGCUGGCUUAGUCAUAGGAGCUGCUGGAUCUAUUUUUAUUCAAGACCUAAAGAGUUCCUGUUUGUUUGUUUGUUUGUUUGUUUGUUUGUUUUUGAGACAGGGUAGUCCUGUGUAGUCCUGGCUCAGAUCUGCCUGUUAUCAGUCUUUGCUGGUAUUAAAGAUUUGAAAUCCUGGUGACUUAAUAAGACUCCUGACUCUCCACAGCCAACCUCAAUCAUAACACGAAAUAGAAUCUACCUGGAAAACAUUCUUUUGGCACAAAACUCCUUUUAUUGUAUGUUGAUUCUUUACAACCUCAAUUUUAAGAAUGCUUAUCAAUAACUACAAGAGAUAAAGGCCAGAAGAGGACGUCAGAUUCCUGGGUCUGGAGCUACAGACGGUUGUGAUGUGUGGUGUGUGCUGCAGCAGUGGGUGCUGGGGAUCAAACCUGGGUCCUCUGGAUAAGCAGUCAGUGCUUUUAACUGCUGAGCCUUCUCUCCAGCCCCAAGUAUUAUAUUAUCUUUAAAGGUAUUGUUGAGAUAUAAUUAAUUUACAGCAAACAGCAUAUAUUUAAAGCAUUUGAUUGAUGAAUCUGAUCGACCCGCAUCCUGAGUCCAUCAAGAUAAUCAAGACGACACAUUCUGACCAUGUCCAAAACCUCCCCAAUUCCCCUCAUGAUUUAUGUCUCCCUAUCAACCUCAUGCUCUGACAAUCAACAACUUACUUUAUCACUGUAAAUUAGUUUGUAAGUUUUAGGAUUUUAAGGAAAUUAAAUUCUGCACAAA